rnacentral:rRNA from 1 species
ACAAUGGGCUGCAAGACCGCAAGGUGGAGCGAAUCCCAAAAAGCCGGCCUCAGUUCGGAUUGUAGUCUGCAACUCGACUGCAUGAAGUCGGAAUCGCUAGUAAUCGCGGAUCAGCAUGCCGCGGUGAAUACGUUCCCGGGCCUUGUACACACCGCCCGUCAAGUCACCCGAGUCGGCUGCACCCCAAGUCGCUGCGCUAACCCGCAAGGGAAGCAGGUGCCCAAGGUGUGGUUGGUAAGGGGGACUAAGUCGUAACAAGGUAGCCGUAUCGGAAGGUGCGGCUGGAUCACCUCCUUU